UACGUAGGGUGCGAGCGUUGUCCGGAAUUACUGGGUGUAAAGGGAGCGUAGGCGGGGGUUCAAGCCCUAUGUUAAAUCCAUCGGCUCAACCGGUGGCUGCGUAGGGAACUGGAUCUCUUGAGUGAAGUAGAGGCAGGCGGAAUUCCUAGUGUAGCGGUGAAAUGCGUAGAUAUUAGGAGGAACACCAGUGGCGAAGGCGGCCUGCUGGGCUUUUACUGACGCUGAGGCUCGAAAGCGUGGGGAGCAAA
rnacentral:rRNA from 1 species